AUUUACGAUGGGGUAAAAGGUCUGGAAAAAUUAAGGGGAAGAAAAUUGAUUUUAUCAAUGCUGGUGGCAGGACAUCAGCGUAUGUACCGGAGUUGCAGAAGUUGAGUGGAACAUCAGCUUCAAAAGCAGCAGGUAAGCUUAGAAAGCAGGCUUCAAAGAGAGGUAAGGC